UGUAUGGGAACCAGAGCUGGGAACCAGUCUAGAAGGCAAAGAAAAUUCCGCCAAGUAAACAACAAAGAAAGGGAUUUUGGAACAUUGUCAGUUGUAUACAUUAUGUGGGCCGGUGACUGCAAGAAGCAAGGAAUGUGGAGCUAAUGCAUGCUGCUAAGGAUGGAAAGUUCUUGUGUUUAUUGGUUGUUCCUGAGACACCAGUCACAGUUGUACCUUAUGUCCAUUUUAGAAGCAAGGAAUGUGGAGCUAAUGCAUGCUGCUAAGGAUGGAAAGGUCUUGUGUAUAUUGGUUGUGCCUGAGACACCAGUCACAGUUGUACUUUAUUUCCAUUUUAGGUAAUGUCUUUUGAUUU